UCAGUUCAGACUGCAGGCUGCAACUCGCCUGCACGAAGUCGGAAUUGCUAGUAAUCGUAGGUCAGCAUACUACGGUGAAUACGUUCCUGGGCCUUGUACACACCGCCCGUCAAACCAUGAGAGUUGGCAACACCCGAAGUCGGUAGUCUAACCGCAAGGAGGACGCCGCCGAAGGUGGGGUUGAUGAUUAGGGUUAAGUCGUAACAAGGUAGC
rnacentral:rRNA from 1 species